GGGAGCCGGACUUCGUCUACAGAAAGCCUUUGACUGGGCUCCUACAGCGAAUGGCCCUCGCCUAUAGUACUAACGCUUAAGGCACCCGACGGUAGACGGUCCGCCAGCAACAUCCGAGCUCCUUUCAGAUGGAUAACCACCUCUCUCCGUCGGGCACUUCAACCAAACUUCGGUCGACAGGCCUAGACUCCCUGACAGGCCACAGUAACAUCCACUACUCUGCUCCACCUCCUGCGACGGAUUCUGCGUGGCUCCAUCAUUCCCCGUAAUGGGCUCCACACGGCAGGCCGCAGUAACGGCCACGACUCUGCUCCACUUCCUGCGACGGAUUCUGCGUGGCUCCAUCACUCCCUGGCAGACCACAAUAAUGGCCACGAUUCUGCUUCACUUCCUGCGACGGAUACCGCGCGGUUCCUCCACCCUCUGGCAAGUCGCGACAACGGACGCUGCUCCACUCCCCGCAACAGACUCCACAUGGCAUGUCCCGGUGAUGGCCACGAUUCCACUCCACUACUCUUCGCAACAAACUCUUCCUGACCCUGGACAGCCCACUGCC
rnacentral:lncRNA from 1 species